AGAGAAUUGGAAGGACCACAGGACCCUCUACUGAAAUGUUAGCCACGUCUCUUGUCUGUCCACCUCUGGAUUCACAUGAUGUUGAGAAGUGUUAGGGUACAUAGGAGGCAGAAGGUUAACUGAAGAUCAAGAUGUAGAACUUUUCUGCUCAUUCUACAGCACCAUGUUUGCCUGCAUGAUGCCAUGAAGGUACCAGAGCAUUUGCCUGAGCAAAGAAAAGUUUCCAGAUCCUCCAUCCUGAAGGAGCAGAACAAAAAAUGACCAGAAAGGCAAAAAGUUCAUGCCUUCACAGAGUUUAUGUGUGUUCUGAAUGGCUGUCAAGUAACUUCGCUUAGAACUCCUUAGAACAUAAACUGUUCUGCGGAGUUCAUCUAGUGGGUGUACUAAAGGAAAUGUAGCCACUGGGCAUUCAUAUUUGGUGCCCAAGAUUCAAGGAAGGCAUGGACCAUGCUUUAGUCAUACAGGAAAUGACUGGUGCAGAUUUGAGAGAUGUUGGAAAAUGGAAAAGAUUCUUCAGUAGCAUAUGAAUUUAUUUAACAAGAAUUUGCUGCUAUCCAAUGAACUGUGAUACGAGUUCCUUAGUUACCUCUCUGAACAUUUAUUGAUUAAUGAUAACGAGGACAACAAAAACAGAAAAAAAAGGAACCCAAAGAAUCUUAGCCAGUAUAUUACAAAGGCCCAAGGAUUAUCCAAAUCAGUUUUACCAAUUCAAAUUUUGAGUUUGGGAAGACUUGAACAUUAAAAUAAAGGGAACAAUAAUUUAAAUACAAGAAAUGAGUAGUUUACUAUCAUUAAACAUCAGUUUCCCUGGAAAAUAAAGUUAAUGGUGUCUUGGUUAAGGGUAGUAGACUUUAUCUAAUAGUAGACCCUAUCUAUUUCAGGCAGUACUUGAAAGUUGGGCAAUGGCUUUGGUACUGUUAUGUACUC